rnacentral:piRNA from 1 species
UGCAUCUCAGACCGCGCAUCUUCCGUCCUC